rnacentral:rRNA from 1 species
AGAGUUUGAUCCUGGCUCAGAAUGAACGCUGGCGGCGUGGCUAAGACAUGCGAGUCGAACGAACCAUUUAUGGUUAGUGGCGAAAGGGUUAGUAAUGGUUAGGUAACGUACCCUGUGCUUCGGGAUAGCCAUUCGAAAGGAUGGGUAAUACCGGAUAAUAUCAUCUGCUUAAUGUGGAUGAUCAAAGAUUUAUCGGCAUUGGAGCGGCCUAAUUCCUAUCAGCUUGUUGGUGAGGUAAUGGCUCACCAAGGCUCUGACGGGUAGCGGGACUGAGAGGUUGGCCCGCAACAUCGGGACUGAGACACUGCCCGGACCUCCACGGAGGGCUGCAGUAACGAAUAUUGGGCAAUGGGCGAAAGCCUGACCCAGCGACGCCGCGUGCGGGAGGAAGUCCCUCGGGAUGUAAACCGCUUUUCGGAUCAAGAAAGACUCCGGUUUGAUCUACUCCGGAAUAAGUCACGGCUAACUUCGUGCCAGCAGCCGCGGUAAUACGAAGGUGGCAAGCGUUAUUCGGUAUCACUGGGCUUAAAGCGUGUGUAGGUUGAAGAGUAAGUGUUCUGUGAAAUCCCUCGGCUCAACCGAGGAAUUGCUUGGCAUACUGCUCUUCUUGAGGCAAGUAGGGGUACGUGGAACCCUUGGUGGAGCGGUGGAAUGCGUAGAUAUCAAGAGGAACGCCGAUGGUGAAGACAACGUACUGGGCUUGUCCUGACACUGAGACACGAAAGCGUGGGGAGCAAACAGGAUUAGAUACCCUGGUAGUCCACGCUGUAAACGAUGUAUACUAGGUCGUGGGAGUUCUGACGCUUUCACGGCCGAAGCAAAAGUGUUAAGUAUACCGCCUGGGGAGUACGGUCGCAAGGCUAAAACUCAAAGGAAUUGACGGGGGCUCACACAAGCGGUGGAGCAUGUGGAUUAAUUCGAAGCAACGCGCAGAACCUUACCUAGGUUUGACAUACUUGGAUGCCCUCCGGGAAACUGGAGUAAGCUGCUCUUCGGAGUGAAACUUGUACAGGUGCUGCAUGGCUGUCGUCAGCUCGUGUCGUGAGAUGUCGGGUUAAGUCCUUUAACGAGCGAAACCCUUACCGUUAGUUGCCAGCGCGUCAUGGCGGGGACUCUAACGGGACUGCCGGUGUUAAACCGGAGGAAGGUGGGGAUGACGUCAAGUCCUCAUGGCCUUUAUGCCUAGGGCUUCACACGUGCUACAAUGGUCGAUACAGAGCGACGCAAGACCGCGAGGUGGAGCAAAUCGCAAAAAGUCGGCCCCAGUUCGGAUUGCAGGCUGGCAACUCGCCUGCAUAAAGGUGGAAUCGCUAGUAAUCGCGUGUCAGCUAUAACGCGGUGAAUGUGUUCCUGAGCCUUGUACACACCGCCCGUCAAGUCACGGGAGUUGGGAGUACCCGAAGUCAGUUUGCUAACCCUCGGGAAGCGACUGCCGACGGUAAGUCCGAUGACUGGGACUAAGUCGUAACAAGGUA